AUUGAACGCUGGCGGCAUGCCUUACACAUGCAAGUCGAACGGCAGCACGGGUGCUUGCACCUGGUGGCGAUUGGCGCACGGGUGAGUAAUACAUCUGAACAUGUCCUGUAGUGGGGGAUAGCCCGGCGAAAGCCGGAUUAAUACCGCAUACGAUCUACGUAUGAAAGCGGGGUCCCUUCGGGCCUCGCGCUAUACGGUUAGCCGUUGGCUGAUUAGCUAGUUGGUGGGGUAAAGGCCUACCAAGGCGACGAUCAGUAGCUGGUCUGAGAGGACGACCAGCCACACUGGGACUGAGACACGGCCCAGACUCCUACGGGAGGCAGCAGUGGGGAAUUUUGGACAAUGGGCGAAAGCCUGAUCCAGCAAUGCCGCGUGUGUGAAGAAGGCCUUCGGGUUGUAAAGCACUUUUGUCCGGAAAGAAAUCCUUGGCCCUAAUACGGUCGGGGGAUGACGGUACCGGAAGAAUAAGCACCGGCUAACUACGUG
rnacentral:rRNA from 1 species